AAAAGCUGAGGAAAAUGAAACCAACCGGGAUUGCCUUAGUAACGGCGAGUGAAGCGGCAAAAGCUCAAAUUUGAAAUCUGGUACCUUCGGUGCCCGAGUUGUAAUUUGGAGAGGGCAACUUUGGGGCCGUUCCUUGUCUAUGUUCCUUGGAACAGGACGUCAUAGAGGGUGAGAAUCCCGUGUGGCGAGGAGUGCGGUUCUUUGUAAAGUGCCUUCGAAGAGUCGAGUUGUUUGGGAAUGCAGCUCUAAGUGGGUGGUAAAUUCCAUCUAAAGCUAAAUAUUGGCGAGAGACCGAUAGCGAACAAGUACAGUGAUGGAAAGAUGAAAAGAACUUUGAAAAGAGAGUGAAAAAGUACGUGAAAUUGUUGAAAGGGAAGGGCAUUUGAUCAGACAUGGUGUUUUGUGCCCUCUGCUCCUUGUGGGUAGGGGAAUCUCGCAUUUCACUGGGCCAGCAUCAGUUUUGGUGGCAGGAUAAAUCCAUAGGAAUGUAGCUUGCCUCGGUAAGUAUUAUAGCCUGUGGGAAUACUGCCAGCUGGGACUGAGGACUGCGACGUAAGUCAAGGAUGCUGCAAAGACUGCUA
rnacentral:rRNA from 1 species